rnacentral:rRNA from 1 species
GGUCUCAGUUCGGAUUGCAGGCUGCAACCCGCCUGCAUGAAGUUGGAAUUGCUAGUAAUCGCGGAUCAGCAUGCCGCGGUGAAUACGUUCCCUGGCCUUGUACACACCGCCCGUCACACCAUGGGAGCCGGUAAUACCCGAAGUCAGUAGCCUAACCGCGAAGGGGGGCGCUGUCGAAGGUAGGAUUGGCGACUGGGGUGAAGUCGUAACAAGGUAAC